AUGGGCUGGCGGGCAUGCUAUACAUGCAGUCGAGCGAAUGGAUUAAGAGCUUGCUCUUAUGAAGUUAGCGGCGGACGGGUGAGUAACACGUGGGUAACCUGCCCAUAAGACUGGGAUAACUCCGGGAAACCGGGGCUAAUACCGGAUAACAUUUUGAACCGCAUGGUUCGAAAUUGAAAGGCGGCUUCGGCUGUCACUUAUGGAUGGACCCGCGUCGCAUUAGCUAGUUGGUGAGGUAACGGCUCACCAAGGCAACGAUGCGUAGCCGACCUGAGAGGGUGAUCGGCCACACUGGGACUGAGACACGGCCCAGACUCCUACGGGAGGCAGCAGUAGGGAAUCUUCCGCAAUGGGACGAAAAGUCUGACGGAGCAACCGCCGCGUGAGUGAUGGAAGGCUUUCGGGCCGAAAAAUUCCGAUGGCUAGUUUAUAUUUUGUGGAAG
rnacentral:rRNA from 1 species